rnacentral:lncRNA from 1 species
CCGGAACCGGCACUCCAGAUGACCAAACAGCCUCGCCGGGCUUUACUACCCGCCUUCUUUCCCAGAGUCCUCUUUUCCCAGCCUCCCUGCUGCUCUCCCAGCCCAGCCUCCAUGAACGUCCACUUUUCCCUUGACUUCACUUCCUGACACACCCUACAAGUUCCUCCCUGGCUCUCCUCCUUUGUGCGAUCCCCUCUGCCUGGAUGUUCCUGAGUUCUCUCCUGGGCCCACCAUGUUUCUCAGGAACCCGCUCCAUCCACCCUCCCACGGUAGACUUACCCAGCCCUGCCCGGGUUCCCGGACCUCUGGCUCUCACCCAGGUCAGUCCCCUCCCUGCCGUCCAGCAGCUGUUCAUCUCUGUGUCUCUUGACUGGACGGUGGAACCACGGUUGCUAAUCCACACUUACAACAUGCGCACGAGAGAGUGCCCUGCGGGUCCUCAGCAAAUCGGAGAGUGUGCGUGGCAAUGAAUGUGUGGACAAGUGGCUGUGUCUCCAGCCGUGCACUACCGAGAACAGAACCAGGAGCCUGGCAGAGGUGGGACAGGGACAGAGCUGCUGGGAGCCAGAGAGGAAAUCUCGCCUCAGGAAACGAAAGGAAGUCUGAGCCACGCUUCGCAGAGCUGGACGGGAACCUGAGGGCUCCGGGCAGCAGGUUUUACAGAUGGUAACAGAAGCCAGCAGGGUGAGCAGCCGGCCUCCACGCAGACCCUGGGUGCCAGGCCGGCCGUCAUGAAAGGGUGCUGUGCGCGGCAGGAAAGGAUGGCGACUCCACCACGGCUGGCAUCAGAGGAGGAGAGGCCUGGGGCCGAUGUGUGAAGGGGCUGCCAAGCAUGGAUGGGGCACGCGGCCAGGCAGCUGUGCACGCAGGGUCCAGGCGGAAGGGCAGAUCCCCUGCUCGGGCGCUGAGGGCGACGUGGUGUCCGGGAGGCCCGAGCGGCCAGGGCAGCGCCCAGAGCUGGACCCAGGGCGCUGGCUUCCUGUCCCUCGUGACGUGACCUCCAGGCAAGUGCUCUCCCACUGUGCAGGAGGGAAGCACUGUCAGCCC